rnacentral:rRNA from 1 species
CAGCAGCCGCGGUAAAACGGAGGGUGCAAGCGUUAAUCGGAAUUACUGGGCGUAAAGCGCACGCAGGCGGUCUGACAAGUCAGAUGUGAAAUCCCCGGGCUUAACCUGGGAACUGCAUUUGAAACUGUCAGGCUGGAGUCUUGUAGAGGGGGGUAGAAUUCCAGGUGUAGCGGUGAAAUGCGUAGAGAUCUGGAGGAAUACCGGUGGCGAAGGCGGCCCCCUGGACAAAGACUGACGCUCAGGUGCGAAAGCGUGGGGAGCAAACAGGAUUAGAGACCCCAGUAGUCCCUGUCUCUUAUAC